rnacentral:rRNA from 1 species
UACAGAGGGUGCAAGCGUUAAUCGGAAUUACUGGGCGUAAAGCGUGCGUAGUCGGUUAUCUAAGUCGGGUGUGAAAUCCCCGGGCUCGACCUGGGAAUUGCAUUCGAUACUGGAUAGCUAGAGUUCGGCAGAGGGAAGCGGAAUUUCGGGUGUAGCGGUGAAAUGCGUAGAUAUCAGGAGGAAUACCGAUGGCGAAGGCAGGUCUCUGGGCUAUAACUGACGCUCAUGCACGAAAGCGUGGGGAGCAAACAGG